UUAGGAAUCUUCCACAAUGGGCGAAAGCCUGAUGGAGCGACGCCGCGUGAGGGAUGAAGGCCUUAGGGUUGUAAACCUCUAAAAGAGGGACGAUAAUGACGGUACCUCUUGAAUAGCACCGGCUAACUCCGUGCCAGCAGCCGCGGUAAUACGGAGGGUGCAAGCGUUAUCCGGAAUCACUGGGCGUAAAGGGCGCGUAGGCGGUCUGUUAAGUCCGAUGUUAAAUCCCGGGGCUCAACCCCGGAUAAGCGUUGGAUACUGGCAGGCUAGACGGUUGGAGAGGCGAGUGGAAUUACCAGUGUAGCGGUGGAAUGCGUAGAUACUGGUAGGAACACCCAUUGCGAAGGCAGCUCGCUGGACAACACGUGACGCCGAGGCGCGAAAGUGUGGGGAGCAAACC
rnacentral:rRNA from 1 species